UCCGCGCCAGGGAUCGUAGCGGAAAUCCUUUGCACGUAGGUGCAAAGAUUGGAGCGGAGAGCCCGGUCGAUU
rnacentral:sRNA from 1 species